rnacentral:rRNA from 1 species
UUCGGUUCCCAGUUGAGUGGCGAACGGGUGAGUAACACGUGGGUGAUCUACCUUCAAGUGGGGGAUAACGUUCCGAAAGGAACGCUAAUACCGCAUGACGUUCUGGGUUUGAAGACCUGGAAACCAAAGCCGGGGACCGCAAGGCCUGGCGCUUAAAGAGGAGCCCGCGUCCGAUUAGCUAGUUGGCGGGGUAACGGCCCACCAAGGCGACGAUCGGUAGCCGGCCUGAGAGGGCGGACGGCCACACUGGGACUGAGACACGGCCCAUACUCCUACGGGAGGCAGCAGUGGGGAAUUGUUCACAAUGGGCGCAAGCCUGAUGACGCAACGCCGCGUGGGGGAUGAAGGCCUUCGGGUCGUAAACCCCUGUCGAAUGGGACGAAAAGCCCGCGAUUUAACAAAACGCGGGACUGACGGUACCGUUAAAGGAAGCCACGGCUAACUCUGUGCCAGCAGCCGCGGUAAUACAGAGGUGGCAAGCGUUGUUCGGAAUUACUGGGCGUAAAGGGCGCGUAGGCGGCCUUCUAAGUCAGACGUGAAAUCCCCCGGCUUAACCUGGGAACUGCGUCUGAUACUGGGAGGCUUGAGUAUGGGAGAGGGAUGUAGAAUUCCAGGUGUAGCGGUGAAAUGCGUAGAUAUCUGGAGGAAUACCGGUGGCGAAGGCGGCAUCCUGGACCAUAACUGACGCUGAGGCGCGAAAGCUAGGGGAGCAAACGGGAUUAGAUACCCCGGUAGUCCUAGCCCUAAACGAUGAAUACUUGGUGUGGCGGGGUAUCGAUCCCUGCCGUGCCGAAGCUAACGCAUUAAGU